rnacentral:lncRNA from 1 species
CGCCAUGAAACUGGUGCCAUUGGAAAGCUUGAGCUGAGGAGAGUCCGGAUAUGCCCUCCGAUCAUCUAGUCCUCACCAGAGCUCGCUGGAAAAGCCAAAAAAUGUGGCUGCCAACACCUCGCCGAAACUCCCUCCUCCAGCCACCAAAGCCGAUGCUGCCACUCCCAAAAGGAAGCCCUCAACUCACCGGUCAAAACAAGACCAACCUCGCCGCCAUUAGUCAUCGGGAACACCCGGAACGGCACUGACAACCGCU